UGAAUACGAGAUGCUACGGCAUUGAAGUAGUGUAUGUCAGACUUCCAAGAAAAGCUCGCAAUGUCAUAAAUAAAUAAUGCCUGUACCAUAACCGACACAGGUGGGUAGGUAGAGUAUACUAAGGGGCGCGAGAUAACUCUCUCUAAGGAACUCGGCAAAAUGACUCCGUAACUUCGGGAGAAGGAGUGCCUCAUUUAUGAGGUUGCAAUAACAAGAUCCAAGCAACUGUUUACCAAAAACACAGGUCUCCGCUAAGUCGUAAGACGAUGUAUGGGGGCUGACGCCUGCCCAGUGCCAGAAGGUUAAAGAAGUUGGUUAGCAUCCGCGAAGCUGAUAACUGAAGCCCUGGUGAACGGCGGCCGUAACUAUAACGGUCCUAAGGUAGCGAAAUUCCUUGUCGGGUAAGUUCCGACCCGCACGAAAGGCGUAAUGAUUUGGAUUCUGUCUCAGAGAGGGACUCGGUGAAAUAGACUUGUCUGUGAAGAUGCGGACUACCUGCACCAGGACAGAAAGACCCUAUGAAGCUUUACUGUAACUUGAAAUUGAAAUUGGACUUUAGUUGCGCAGUAUAGGUGGGAGGCGUUGAGUUUAUUCUUGCGGGAAUUUAGGAGCCAUCAGUGAGAUACCACUCUGCUAAUGUUAGAUUUCUAACUUUGCAUCAUAAUCUGGUCAAAGAACAGUUUCAGGCGGGCAGUUUGACUGGGGCGGUCGCCUCCUAAAUGGUAACGGAGGCGUACAAAGGUUUCCUCUGAACGUGUAGAAAUCGUAUCUAGAGUAUAAAGGCAUAAGGAAGCUUGACUGUGAGACUUACAAGUCGAGCAGGGACGAAAGUCGGUCUUAGUGAUCUGACGGUGCUGAGUGGAAAGGCCGUCACUCAACGGAUAAAAGUUACUCUAGGAUAACAGGCUGAUCUCCCCCAAGAGUUCACAUCGACGGGGAGGUUUGGCACCUUGAUGUCGGCUCAUCGCAUCCUGGGGCGGUAGUACGUCCCAAGGGUUGGGCUGUUCGCCCAUGAAAGCGGUACGCGAGCUGGGUUCAGAACGUCGUGAGACAGUUCGGUCCAUAUCCGGUGUAGGCGUUAGAAUAUUGAGAGGAGCCUUCUUUAGUACGAGAGGACCGAGAAGGACAUACCUCUGGUGUACCAGUUAUCGUGCCAACGGUAAACGCUGGGUAGCUAUGUAUGGAGUGGAUAACCGCUGAAAGCAUCUAAGUGGGAAGCCCACCUCAAGAUAAGUAUUCU
rnacentral:rRNA from 1 species